rnacentral:rRNA from 2 species
GCGGAGGAAAAGAAAAUAACAAUGAUUUCCCUAGUAACGGCGAGUGAAGAGGAAAGAGCUCAAAGUUGGAAACUGUUUGGCUUAGCUAAACCGUAUUGUAAACUGUAGAAACAUUUUCCUGGCACACCAGAUUAAUAAGUCCUUUGGAACAAGGCAUCAUGGAGGGUGAGAAUCCCGUCUUUGAUCUGAGUAGUUGUCUUUUGUGAUAUGUUUUCAAAGAGUCAGGUUGUUUGGGAAUGCAGCCUAAAUUGGGUGGUAAAUCUCACCUAAAGCUAAAUAUUUGCGAGAGACCGAUAGCGAACAAGUACCGUGAGGGAAAGAUGAAAAGAACUUUGAAAAGAGAGUUAAACAGUAUGUGAAAUUGUUAAAAGGGAACCGUUUGGAGCCAGACUGGUUUGACUGUAAUCAACCUAGAAUUCGUUUUGGGUGCACUUGCAGUCUAUACCUGCCAACAACAGUUUGAUUUGGAGGACAAAAUUAAUAGGAAUGUAGCCUCUCGAGGUGUUAUAGACUAUUAUCAUACUCUGGAUUGGACUGAGGAA